AGAGUUUGAUCCUGGCUCAGGACGAACGCUGGCGGCGUGCUUUAUACAUGCAAGUCGAACGAUGAAGUUCCUUCGGGAAUGGAUUAGUGGCGAACGGGUGAGGAACACGUGAGAAACCUGCCUUUCAUUCUGGGAUAACACCGGGAAACCGGUGCUAAUACCGGAUACUCCGUCUUGGCGGCAUCGCCGAGCUGGGAAAAAAUUUUGAUGAAAGAUGGUCUCGCGGCCUAUCAGCUAGUUGGUGAGGUAAAGGCUCACCAAGGCGACGACGGGUAGCCGGCCUGAGAGGGCGACCGGCCACACUGGGACUGAGACACGGCCCAGACUCCUACGGGAGGCAGCAGUAGGGAAUAUUGGGCAAUGGGCGAAAGCCUGACCCAGCGACGCCGCGUGAGGGAUGAAGGUCUUCGGAUUGUAAACCUCUUUCAGUAGGGAAGAAGCGAAAGUGACGGUACCUAAAGAAGAAGCACCGGCUAACUAUGUGCCAGCAGCCGCGGUAAUACAUAGGGUGCAAGCGUUGUCCGGAAUUAUUGGGCGUAAAGAGCUCGUAGGUCGUUUGUCGCGUCGAUUGUGAAAAUCUGAGGCUCAACCUCAGACCUGCAGUCGAUACGGGCAAACUAGAGUGUGGUAGGGGAGACUGGAAUUCCUGGUGUAGCGGUGGAAUGCGCAGAUAUCAGGANGAACACCAAUGGCGAAGGCAGGUCUCUGGGCCAUAACUGACACUGNNNAGCGAAAGUGCGGGGAGCGAACAGGA
rnacentral:rRNA from 1 species